rnacentral:rRNA from 1 species
GUGCCAGCAGCCGCGGUAAUACGGAGGGGGCAAGCGUUAUUCGGAAUCAUUGGGCGUAAAGGGCGCGUAGGCGGCUUGGCAAGUCAAAGGUGAAAUCCCUCGGCCCAACCGAGGAACUGCCUUUGAUACUGCCUCGCUUGAGGCCGGGAGAGGGUAGCGGAAUUCCCAGUGUAGCGGUGAAAUGCGUAGAUAUUGGGAGGAACACCAGUGGCGAAGGCGGCUACCUGGACCGGUUCUGACGCUGAUGCGCGAAAGCGUGGGGAGCAAACAGGAUUAGAAACCCCGGUAGUCC